AUUUUCAGCAGGGAUGAUAAUUGUUUUAAUCCCAGCUCGAUGUGCACUUAAUGAUUUCUCUUUAAGACCACCAAUUGGUAAUACAUGGCCACGUAAAGU
rnacentral:snoRNA from 1 species